UCCUCACAGCAACCAAGGAGGGUGUCUGUCAUCUUCGCUCUUAACCAAGCGGAAAGCGGAAGUCCAGUCUGCGGAAGUGACUUGCCCAGAGUUGCACAGAGGAAAGCAGUGUGUGUUUAGGGGGAGCACCACUGGAAGUCUCCACGGGCAUGGCUUUGGACAAGUGGAGAGAACGUGUUGUGUUGAGAGCAGGUGACCACAGGAAGUGGACAGAAACAGACCUGUGCCGGGAGAAGCCAUGGCGGUCAGGGAUCUAAGGUCAGGAACAUGAAAACCAUGGCAGGCGUGGCUGGAACUGGGUGUCGGCACUGAAGGUCCAGAGCGGGUCAAGGGGACAGGAACAUGGGGAGGAUCACACUGAAGUGGCUGACUGGGUGUCCAGGCUUGGAAGGAAGUAGCCUGAGGACACCUAUGUGUGAGCGGCUUAGGAGGUCUGCUCAUCCAGAGUAACUGGCUGGUAACCACAUGCAGGUAAAACAUCUGUGCACCUCACUAAGCCUGGGACAAAGAGAAAUAUGGUCAACU